UUGUUAGUUGCCAGCGGGAAUGCCGGGGACUCUAGCGAGACUGCCGUUGAUCAAAACGGAGGAAGGUGGGGACGACGUCAAGUCAUCAUGGCCCUUAUGGCCUGGGCUACAAACGUGCUACAAUGGCUCCGUACAAAGGGUACGCGAAGCCGCGAGGUGUAGCGCAAUCCCAUCAAAGCGGGCCCCAG
rnacentral:rRNA from 1 species